AGUACCUACGGGAGGCAGCAGUGGGGGAUAUUGCACAAUGGGGGGAACCCUGAUGCAGCGACGCCGCGUGAGUGAAGAAGUAAUUCGUUAUGUAAAGCUCUAUCAGCAGGGAAGAAUAAAUGACGGUACCUGACUAAGAAGCCCCGGCUAACUACGUGCCAGCAGCCGCGGUAAUACGUAGGGGGCAAGCGUUAUCCGGAUUUACUGGGUGUAAAGGGAGCGUAGACGGCUGUGCAAGUCUGAAGUGAAAUGACGGGGCUCAACCCCGGAGCUGC
rnacentral:rRNA from 1 species